GGCACUAUGACCGAGUGGUUAAGGUGUGAGACUUGAAUGAUUUCAAUAUCUCAUCCCCUUUGGGGACGCAAGUUCGAACCUUGCUGGUGUCG